GCCUACAAGCGGUUGGAGCACCUUCGGGUGUGACAGCGUGCCUUUUGCAUAAUGAACCUACGAGUUGCCGUCGCCGGCAAGGUUAAGAGCAAAGAUGCUCGGAGCCGAAGCGAAAGCGAGUCCUAACGAGGCGCCCAGUCAGCGGCGGCAGACGCGAAACCAAGUGAUCUACCCUUGUCCAGGUUGAAGUCCGGGUAACACCGGAUGGAGGACCGAACCAAUAAGCGUUGAAAAGCUUCUGGAUGAGCUGAGGGUAGGAGUGAAAGGCCAAUCAAACUUGGAGAUAGCUCGUACUCCCCGAAAUGCAUUUAGGUGCAGCCUCGGGUGUUCCCUACGUGAGGUAGAGCGACUGAUCGGAUGCGAGGGCUUCACCGCCUAUCAAGUCCGGACAAACUCCGAAUGCGCGUAGGUCAUAACCCGGGAGUGAGGGCAUGGGUGCUAAGGUCCGUGCCCGAGAGGAGAAGAAUCCAGACCGCCAGCUAAGGCCCCGAAAUAUGGGUUAAGUUAAACUAACGAAGUGCGGUUCCCGUGACAGCUAGGAUGUUGGCUUGGAAGCAGCCAUUCAUUCAAAGAGUGCGUAACAGCUCACUAGUCGAGGGACUGUGCAUGGAUAAUAAUCGGGUAUGAAACCCAUUGCCGAAGCUGCGGGACAUCAUAUGAUGUCGGUAGGGGAGCAUUCCAGUGGCGUUGAAGGUAUGAGGACAACUCAUGCUGGAGCAUCUGGAAAAGCAAAUGUAGGUAUAAGUAACGAUAAAGAGUGUGAGAUGCACUCUCGCCGUAAGACUAAGGUUUCCCGGGCAACGUUAAUCGGCCCGGGGUGAGUCGGGACCUAAGGAUAAGCCGAAAGGCGAGGCCGAUGGCAGAAAGGGUUAAUAUUCCCUUACUACCUUUAUGGGCGACGCGGAGACGGAGAAGUGAAACUCUCGCGUGCAGACGGAAUAGCACGUUAAAGAGUGUAGACGUAGAUUAGGGUAGGCAAAUCCGCCCUAAGAGUCGAACUUGAUAGUACACAAAGCCUUCGGGCAGCGUGAUAGCAGAGGUAAGCAGGCUCCCAAGAAAAUCCGCUAAGCUUUAACCAUAGAGGUACCCGUACCGCAAACGGACACACGUAGUCGGGUAGAAUAUACUAAGGCGCUUGGAAGAUUCACGGUUAAGGAACUAGGCAAAUUGACCCCGUAACUUCGGAAUAAGGGGUCCUCACGCGAGUGAGGCGCAGAGAAUAGGUCCAGGCAACUGUUUAACAAAAACACAGGGCUGUGCGAAAUCGAAAGAUGAGGUAUACAGUCUGACACCUGCCCGGUGCCGGAAGGUUAAGAGGAGAUGUCAUCGCAAGAGAAGCAUUGAAUUGAAGCCCCGGUAAACGGCGGCCGUAACUAUAACGGUCCUAAGGUAGCGAAAUUCCUUGUCGGGU
rnacentral:rRNA from 1 species